GGGUGAGGGGCGCCACCGAGGAAGCGCCCACCGGGCUCCGGGGGCUGCCAGGCCCCGAACUGAGGAAGUUGACUGCCAGAUCACACUCUCUUGGCCCACGCAGAUAGAUUCCAUUCAUCCUUUCGAAUGUCUACACCAUAUUUGGGAUAACAUGCCAUCAUCUCACAUUGUGUUGAAAGAAGAAACCAGAAUGUUGGGGUUGAUGUAUGCCAUAUGGAUAAAUUUAAACAGUUUUGGCCUUGCGAUAAUUGGUUUACUUCUAAUUGCAUGUGAAAUUAUACUCUUUUUAAGGAAAGAUGAAAAUAUUCAGUGGCCACACGUACCCAGUAACAGAGGGAGCAAAGCAAAUCUUAUCCUCAAAGAACUGCAGCUGCUUGUUAGAUCUGCCUGGUGGUUCCAUAGGGAAACUGCUCAGAGAACCCGCCUUUACCUUGCCUAAAAUAGAACUAUCCCAGAGGUCAGAAAAGGAGUCCAUUCAUCCUCUAUAACUGCUAUACAAUAUCUUUGUUAGAAUGCCAAGAAGAUUUAUCCUAAAAGAAGGCACCAAAGCAAUGGGGUUCAUCAACUCAGGAUCCAGCAGUGUAAUACAGAAGCCUGCUACAAGAUAUAAGGCACUUCACCCUCGGAAACCUCACUGUCAGAAUCCUUGGAAAUCACACCACGCACAACUUCUAUUCAUAAUUUGCAAAGAACCAGUGUGACUCCACUCAAGAACAAAAGAUUAAUUGUGAAUUAGCGAAGAACUCUAAUUUUUUCAAGAGGCCACAUGGAAAACGCAUUCUAAUGAAGUCCUUUCCAUUGCUCUUUUUUCUUAGUUCUUCAAUAAAGCAUGCGAUUUGAUCACAAA